AGUCACUGACAUUAGAUACCCGCGUAGUCCAGGGUGUAAACGCUGCAGACUUGGUGUUGGAAGUCCUUUGGGGGCAUUCAGUGCCGGAGAGAAGUUGUUAAGUCUGCUACUUGGGGAGUACGUCCGCAAGGAUGAAACUUAAAGGAAUUGGCGGGGGAGCACCGCAACGGGAGGAGCGUGCGGUUUAAUUGGAUUCAACGCCGGAAAUCUCACCGGAUAGGACAGACAUAUGAUAGUCGGGCUGAAGACUCUACUUGAUGAUCUG
rnacentral:rRNA from 1 species